CCUACGGGAGGCAGCAGUGGGGAAUUUUGGACAAUGGGCGAAAGCCUGAUCCAGCCAUUCCGCGUGCAGGAUGAAGGCCCUCGGGUUGUAAACUGCUUUUGUACAGAACGAAAAGGUUUCUAUUAAUACUAGGAGCUCAUGACGGUACUGUAAGAAUAAGCACCGGCUAACUACGUGCCAGCAGCCGUGGUAAUACGUAGGGUGCAAGCGUUAAUCGGAAUUACUGGGCGUAAAGCGUGCGCAGGCGGUUAUAUAAGUCAGAUGUGAAAUCCCCGGGCUCAACCUGGGAACUGCAUUUGAGACUGUAUAGCUAGAGUACGGUAGAGGGGAUGGAAUUCCGCGUGUAGCAGUGAAAUGCGUAGAUAUGCGGAGGAACACCGAUGGCGAAGGCAAUCCCCUGGACCUGUACUGACGCUCAUGCACGAAAGCGUGGGGAGCAAACAGGAUUAGAUACCCUGGUAGUCCACGCCCUAAACGAUGUCAACUGGUUGUUGGGUCUUAACUGACUCAGUAACGAAGCUAACGCGUGAAGUUGACCGCCUGGGGAGUACGGCCGCAAGGUUGAAACUCAAAUGAAUUACGG
rnacentral:rRNA from 1 species